UAAUAAGUGUUUUAUGGCACUUUUUAAAUCCAUAUCCACCUUGUGUGCAAUGUCAGUCGAUCUUCUUCAUGGAGAUCGACCAAACAUCAACCUUUAUCUUUUAACUCUUUGUCUGAAAAAAUAUUAUGAAUAAACAAUUCAAAAAUA
rnacentral:misc_RNA from 1 species